UACGUAGGGACCAAGCGUUGUUCGGAUUUACUGGGCGUAAAGGGCGCGUAGGCGGCGCGGUAAGUCACUUGUGAAAUCUCUGAGCUUAACUCAGAACGGCCAAGUGAUAUUGCAGUGCUAGAGUGCAGAAAGGGCAAUCGGAAUUCUUGGUGUAGCGGUGAAAUUCGUAGAUAUCGGGAGGAACACCUAUUGCGAAGGCAGCUCGCUGGGACGUUACUGACGCUGAGACGCGAAAGCGUGGGGAGCAAACAGG
rnacentral:rRNA from 1 species